ensembl:lncRNA
CUCAGGGCGUGCGCGAGGAGGGUGGAGUGUUCUGGGCGUUCCGAGUGAGGUGGUUCAUUUCCGUACGUCGUUUUUUGUCCCGGAGGUAAUGCCCGAAGGCUAUGAAAACGUCCUGAAGCCGUUUAGCUCUCACCCGUGAAGAAAAAAAGCUGAAGAUAAAGAGGAAAAGAAAAAUGGAGGACAUAGCAGGAAUUCAGCAGUGUUAAACCUUGAGGUACUGGGACAUAAACGUACAGCCCAAAUUCUAGGUGAAGGCAGUCGUGAAGCACACACAUCCUACAGAAUGACCACGAUAUGGACUGCAGUUCUUCACACUGACAGCGUGAGAAGAAAGAAGAAACAGUGACGAAUUCACCCUGUGUAUUAAGGACCUCUACCACCUCCUCCCGUUAACCCCCACCUUACAUCCUUGUCCUGCACCUCUGGAAGCUCAUUUGUUAGUGCAAUGUCAUGUGUUCUCUUUAGUGCCUCAACUCAGGGUGCUGGUUGGAGGCAGCUGGGUGCUCCCUCCGUAUAAUAUGUGUCCUAGCCCAGGCUGAGGGGGCAAACCUGCUCCCUCUGGACUCUGUAUCCAGGUAAGCAGAAUGGCAAAACGUUUGUUGUAAAAGUUUGUGAAGAAUUGCUGCAGGGUUAUUCGGAGCGGGCUACUGAUAGGACUGUGAAUGGGAACAAAAAACCUCACUGACAACUGACACAGCACAAGAGUUAAUCAUCUUGAAUCAUAAUAAUUUGUCAUCGAAAAAAAAAAAAGAAAACAACCCACUGAGAUCAAAGGCAAUUUUAGAGGAGUGAUUAUUUUGACAGAAGUGGCAUGUGGAGCUGUGCAUAUUACAGCAGGCAGCACGGGAGGUGCCAGCCUAUGGGAAAUGUGCACGCAGCUAUCAGAAGGGCAUGCGGUAAAAGGUAAAACAUUCAGAUGAACUUUUCAGCCAAAUGGUAGACAGUAUUGCAGCUGAUGGCAAGUGUUUGCCUGACAGAAAAGUAGUAUGUGCUACUUCAUGUUGGACAGUGAUGCCCAAACCAAUGCAGUACAACAGUCUAAGUCAUUCACAGUGACAGCAAAGCCAAAGGAAGAAGACAGAAGCCCAUUACUGGGUAAAAGUACGUCCAUUCCACAGCUUCCUCAGGAGAAUGUCUUCAUCAGGGAAGCAAAGGAGAAAAACAGCUUAAGAAAAAUCUCAGGAUUUUCCAUAGCAUAGUGACAAAUUGCACCUUUUCCAGUUUGUUAGCUAUUAUAUAUAUCUCCAGGAGGGAAAGGAUCAGUGGUACAUACUUAUCUUUCUCCAUUCACCCUAGGAUGAAGGUCUGUAGAAAAGUACAUGUGCCUUUUGGCACAAGGUGGCUGGUGCUGUAUAUUCCCUGCAUCUGUUGCUGGUAUAGAGGAAAAAUUCACAUGGGAUUUUGUUAAAAAGGAAUGGAGAGGUGGUUUACCCUGUGUUGAAUAAACAUACUGAGAAGAACAUGGGAUGGUUAGCUAGGCAUGGAUAAACCCUCGAGAAAGGCAUGAAGAUGUUCUGCAUUGCCUGAAAAUGACAAGUGACACGGGAAAAUCUCAGACUCAUCACAGGUGCCACAAUGAAACUAAGUCAAGCAAAACCUCAGGAGACAAAGGUUCCUCAAAAGCAAAGCAUGCUUUGCUUUACAUAGGCUGGAAAAACAAAACCACGUACCCUAUGCUAUUUUUUUUCCUUUGCUGAGCUAGCCUAAAUAGAAGAUAUUACAGAUGAGUGUAUGUGUCAAAAGCAUUGGAUAAGUUGGGAUGCAGCUGACAUAACUGUAAGUGACAGCGACAUUAUUUAGUUUAAGUAGUUUGCAGUUAAGUAUAGACUUAGACAUAAUCUUGCCAAUGGAACAGUUCCCACCCUAAUAUGUGAGUAAGAAAUGGUGCCAGAUUAAUA